rnacentral:lncRNA from 1 species
GUGAGCUGUGCCAUUCUGGCUUGAUUUCUGAUUGUGGCUCUGUCACUAGCUGGUAGUGUUAGCUUCAAUGAUUUACUCCUCUGAGGCUCAGUUUUCUUUUGUGUAAAAGGUUAUGCAGUUGAUGGAUCAAGUCUAGGAGACUGAAUGAAGUCCAUCAUGCUUCCUCAACACAUAGGGAUUGCUUCACAACCAGAAAGAGCUCUUAAUUUUGCAGGGAACUAUGGCUGACAAAAGGAUCUAGAUAUUGAAGUAUCAUACCAUCCAGAGGAAACUGAGAGACUCAACUGCAGUUCAGGUGUCCAUCUCUUCUAAGAUGCCAAAGACACACUGAUAUGUUUGUGUUUGUUGACUUCUUUCUUUCCAUACCCCUGAAGAUCAUACUAUAUUUGCAAAUGUGAAAGAUUAGCUUGUCUCUUUUGUUAUAGGCCAGUUUCAAGUGUGCAACAAAGCCACAAAGAUUGACCUUGGGUAACUCAAAAUUACUGACAAUAAGUUUAAAGAUCAUCUCAAGCAGAAUGACUAUGGUAGUUGAUUAAGUAUUGCUAUUGUGUGCUCAUUCUUAAUAUUUAGAUACUCAAUGUAUGACUUUAUAUUAUAGUGCUGAAUGUAUUGACUCUAGGCUAGUAUAUAUUUCUGACAAAUAAAAUUUCACUCAAAAGGC